UUGGAGGGCAAGUCUGGUGCCAGCAGCCGCGGUAAUUCCAGCUCCAAUAGCGUAUAUUAAAGUUGUUGCAGUUAAAAAGCUCGUAGUUGAAUUUCGGGACUAACAGAUUGGUCGCGCCUUUGGUGUGUACUGGUCUAGUUGGUUUCUCCCUUCUGACGAACCACGAUGUCAUUAAUUUGGUGUCGUGGGAAAUCAGGACUGUUACUUUGAAAAAAUUAGAGUGUUUAAAGCAAGCGCUAGCUUGAAUACAUUAGCAUGGAAUAAUGAAAUAGGACGUUUGAUUCUAUUUUGUUGGUUUCUAGGACCGACGUAAUGAUUAAUAGGGAUAGUUGGGGGCAUUAGUAUUCAAUUGUCAGAGGUGAAAUUCUUGGAUUUAUUGAAGACUAACUACUGCGAAAGCAUUUGCCAAGGAUGUUUUCAUUAAUCAAGAACGAAAGUUAGGGGAUCGAAGACGAUCAGAUACCGUCGUAGUCUUAACCAUAAACUAUGCCGACUAGGGAUCGGAUGAUGUUAAUUUUUUAAUGACUCAUUCGGCGCCUUACGGGAAACAAUCACUAGUG
rnacentral:rRNA from 1 species